rnacentral:tRNA from 1 species
CGGGGUGUAGCUUAGUUUGGUAGAGCGCGUGGUUUGGGACCACGAGGUCGCAGGUUCAAGUCCUGUCACCCCGA